rnacentral:lncRNA from 1 species
GGAAGCUGAGGGAGAGUUUGGCUAUAAGUGUUGUUGAUCCACUGUCUGUUGAGAAUGGUGUUGUUGCUUCUCAUCAAGUUGAAGUGAAUAGACAAGGAGGCGUCCCUGCACCUGUACCUGCACCUGUACCUGCACCUGUACCUGCACCUGCACCGUUGAACAAUGGUGGUGGUGGUGUCAAGACUGUGUUCUGGAAGACGAGGCUGUGUGGGAAGUUUGAGAAGG